AUUUGUAAAUAGCAUGCAGCAAAAUGUUUUCAUUGUUUAUUAAAUAUCAAAAUAAUGUUUUGUAAUGCAUUACUUUAUAGUUUUAGAUUUAUACAUGGUGCACAGGAAUAGGAGAUUUUGACUUUUCACAUAGUACAAAGUCAUUGUUAAGUUUGUCAAUACUGUGAGACCAUGAGAAUAUAAUGUAGAUAGUGCCAUUUCAGUUGCUAUGGAGCAUUGGUCAGGAGCAGCGUGAUUUUGAAGUGAAAACAUAUUACAAAAACAAAUGAUUGUUGUGAAGCUGCAUGCUGUGAAUUUCGGCAUCAUUUUCAACUGCACUGUAAUGAUAUGGUUCUGUCAGCCCACACUGAAAAAACAGAUGGAAAGAUUUGAAGCAAUUGGUUCAACAUUGAAAUUGAGACUUGUAAGACCAAGAAAAAUGGUUCGAACUUCAGAGAUUAUCCAAGCAGUAAAUGCUGCAAUUGAGCAAAGUCUGCAUGAUGAUAUGUCAUGUCAUUAGGAUUAUUGUGCUAGAGUUUGAAUAGAAUAUUGUAUGAAGAUUUAAAACUGCACUCAUAUAAACUACAGGUAAUCAAUGCAUUGAAGGA
rnacentral:lncRNA from 1 species